UUGAGCAAAAAGUGCCUUUGGGUUUUUAAUGCUAGUUCCAACUUUAGAUAGACUUGUGGAACAACACAGGUUGGAGUGGGACCUUUAGAUGCCACUUGGUCCAACCCUAGAAAUUUUGGUGACCCUUAAACUUUGAUCAUCUCUGAAACCACAUAACGUUUUUGGUUUUUUUUUUCCAAAGAAUGUUGGGAAAUAGUGGAUCUAACCCUGGUCCCAAGGCAGGAUGAAAUUUGCUCUCCAGUCUUCCUAAGCUGGUAUAAAACCCUCCAUGAGCAGAGAUCCCAACCCUGCUGCAGGCAAUGCGUCCCCAUGCUGCACUAACUCAGGAGAGCAAACUUUCCUGAUAACAGGAUAAGAAAAACACAAUAUUAGCUGAAUUUAUUGACCGGAGAGGCUGCCUUCUCUCCAGCAAAACCUGACCAGCCAAAUCCCUCGCUAUAUGGCUCAACACGAAGUAGAAGGGGAAAGGAGAACAAAUGCAAUAUAACAGGCCACGAUAUAGUGCUGCUUAUAAGUAGUUUACCAGGAAAGGUAUGAGACUGGUAUUUUGAACAAAUCCCCAGCCACUGUUUUAAUAAAGUGCCUUUAGUAUACCACUCUGCCGUGUUUAAAUCUAAUUCCAGUUGUCAGUCAAAUGGCUGUAUGUUAUUAACCUAUGGGCAUAAUUGCCUAUUCCAAGUCUGCAGCUCUAAGAAGCCUUAUGCACGACUGUAAUAAAUGAAAUAACUUUUAUGAUUCCAACACACAGUCGAACACAUUGACAUUGCAAAUUACACACGCGUACGCAUUACUUUUGUCUUCUCUGUAUAAGAUGUUAUCAGUUUGAUGACUGCAGAGGAAGACCCGUGCUCACGGGGAAAUUGCUGAGCUUUGUAUUAGCUCAUCUCUACAGCUGUUGCCACAUGGAAGCACUUCAGCACAUCUUGGUUUAAAAUAAAAACGUCUCCGUACAAAUAACGAAACGUUCAUAAAAAGGAAUGAAAUAAAAAAGGAGAAAUCCUCACAUGUCGCCGUGGCCAAGGGAUUUGUGUCAGGUUUGUGCACUGAUGGCUGCUGUCUCUCCAUCCCCAGCCUCCUCCCUCCCCAGCCAUUUGCCUUUCCCCAUCUGGAUACGCUCCGCGCCGUGCUUUGUGUCUGGGGGAGGAGGGGAUGCUGAAGGGGAGAUGGGCUCUUGGUUUAUUUUUGGUCUGUCAUCAGUGGGGCAAAGUGAGCACGAAGCAAUGGCAGGGCAAAAGCAUUUGCCAGCCUUUGUGUGCUGCUGAAAACCUCAACACAUUUGGGAAGGCAGCUAUGGGUCACCGAAAGAUGUGGGUGCAUCAAUAUGGGUUGGGUUGGAAGGGCCCAUAAAGACCCCUCAGUGCAAUCCCUGCUGUGGGCAGGGGCACAUCCCACAGCCCAGGCUGCCCACAGCCCCAUCCAUAGCCUUGGGCACUGCCAGGAAUGGGGCACCCACAGCUCUCUGGGCAGCCUGUGCCACCUCUUCACCACUCUCACUGUGAAGCACUUCUUCCUAAUAUCUAACCUAAAUCCCACACUUUGGAUGAAAUGAUCCCAAAAGACCAUGGGAGCGACCCAGACUGACUUGGAAAUGCUGCUUUCUUGCCGUGGGUCGAGAAGGGCUCAGGAUCCUCCUAAUGUGACCUUUAGGGCUGGGACGGUGUCGUGCCCUAAAAUCAUGACGUUUACAUGGAAUGAGAGGAUGGAUAUUUUAGGGAUUGGGGUUUCUGGGACAGGUAUAAAUGUAUUUAUGUGCCAUGAUGUACAGGUUCACGUGAGGAGUGCUGAUUCCAUUCAUAUCCUUCCAAGUACUGAUAGCAAUUAAAGAUUUGUACAUCUUGCAUCGUGUCCCCAUUAAAACUCUGGAUGAGGGCAGAAAUCUCUUGAACUCUUCUUAUGCAGCUCUUGCCCUCUAACCCAUGUGAUCCCAUUGAGGAGGUCAGGAUGUGUCUGACUGUAACAGGGAGCCAUGGGGAUCCCUCUUCCUUACUCAUCCCCCAGCAGACUCAUUCCCCUCUUGGAGAGCAGCCUCAUUCCAAACCAGGGAGCACAGCAGUGCUGACUCCUGGUUCCCUUCCCCCUCUGAGCGUUGAUUUUCAGCCCUGUUCCCUGGCUGUGGAGCAAAGCAUGUGAAAAGGACUAUAGACACUGGGAUGCCAUAGCAGCAUCACCACCCCAUCAUCGCUGCAUGGCUUGGGACUGUGCACACGCACACACAACUCUGCAAGUGCCAUGGAAACAGAGCAUCCUGCAUCCUCAGCAGAGGACUGCCUUCCAGCUCCUCUCCUCCCAGACCCACAAUGGGCAAAGCCUGUAGGUUUUCCUCCUUUGGUCGCUCAUCACCCAUGUGAGCUUGGAGCAAACCUAGUCUCUUGGGUCCCCAUGGUCCUGAUUGGAAUUAAUCUCACUAUUGGCCUGAUUCAGGGCAUCUUGGAUGGAGGGAAACAUAUAUUUUUAGGGGAUGCUUUGUUUGGAGAUGUUUUAACAACAGGGAUAGGGUGGUAUGUGGGAGCAUCACCACUGUGCCAUGCUCAGCCAUCCCUCCUCCUCGGGGUACCGCACGCGGUUUCGCUGCCCGACCCCAUAAUGUGACAAUGCCACCAAGAUCCAUGCUUAUGAUCUCAUCAUCAGGCUACAUUUAGGGCGAUGGAGGUGAUUUGUAGCCCUGCUCCUGGGAGGUGUGUGGCUGGGAAUGAGCUGCAGAUCCCAGAAAAAUGGUCCUGGAAAAAAUACAGGUCUGCUGGUCCUUUUUAUAGCCUAGGCAAUUGAAUCGAGCUCAUCGCUUAGCCGAGACAUUUAGAAAGGAUUUUCCCCUCGAAUCCUGAUUAGAUUUCCCACUGAAACGCCCACUUGGACUGCUGCUGCUAGGAGAUGCGUUGGGUUGCUGCUCAAGGAGGCAUCCGGCAUAAAAAUAAACCCAGGAAAGAAGCUGAAAGCUACAGGGACGUGGAGAAGACUUUUUGCUGUGUGAAACCCACCGUCUUGCAUGGGCAUGGGUGGAUGGCUGUGCUGCCUGGGGCCAUUAGCCAAGCUGGGACUUGACGGAGAGCAGGGAAAUGAAGGAAAGAGAGGAAUUUCCAACAUCACGUUGAACCAACGCAAGCAGAUUGGGAAGGGGUUGGCCAUGGGCAGGGGGGGGGCUAAAAAUGGCACAGCACUGCAGGUGGAUGUGGCUGGCACCUUGGAUCCCUGCUCCACCACUGUCCCAUCCCUGUCCCUUUCUGGUGCCCGACCUUGGGGAUGGAUGCGCAUGGGUUAUCCGGGGGCAUCGCUGCAGCGAUGGCGCUGCUUCACUCCCCCAGUAUUCCAGGAGGGUUCAGGGCUGCAGGUUUGAGUUGCUGUGUUUACAUCGGACUGCAGGCAGAGGGAGGAAGGAGGGGACACAGGGAGCUGACGUGCUCAGAAUAAACCCAUGCCACCUCCUCCUCCGCCUCGCAGCAAAAAAAAAAAAACCAGAACGCAUCUGCCUCCCCCACCCCACGCCAUUCCCAUACCCAAAGUGUCCACCCCGGGGAGGAGGGGCCACCUCGCAGCUCAUCCCAGGGGCAAAGGCCUUGGAGAAACCCCGGCCUGAUUUAUUCUGGGCACCGUAAUAAUUAUGGGAAUUAAUAUUAGUAAGAGCUCCCCUUCUUUGGCAGCUCCUGGUGCGACCCCAGCAUGGUCCCAGGCCUUUGGGUUGGAGCUCAUGGUGUCUCUUUAUCCUAGCCCUUUUGCAAGGGAUAAAUGGGUUAUUUUCUGCAGGGAUGGGAGGUUAUUUUGAUAGCAUUUCCCUCUCCCAUACUCAGUAAUGGAAAAGCGGCUCGGCUGGCUCACUGGCAGCAGAGGGGUGAGGCCGUCUGCAGAGAUGCUCAGUGUGCAGAGAAUGAAGGGAAAGGACCCCAAAUGGAAGGGAUUCCACAUAGAAGGGAUCCCAAAUGGAAAGGUCUCCAGAUAGAAGAGACUCCAAAUGGAAGGGACCCCAAACGGGAGGGAUCCCGAAUAGAAGGGACCCCAAAUGGAAGGGAUCGCAAAUGAAGGGACCCCAAAUGUGAGGGCCUCCAGAUAGAAGAGGCUCCAAGUGGAAGGGACCCCAAAUGGAAGAGACCCCAAAUCUCUUCUAUUCUCCCUGUUAUUCCUUAAACAGGAGCUUGGGUUCUCUUGGAGGUCGAGGGUGAGCUCUCGUAGCGUUACCAAGCAGGCGGCUGUGGGCUGCCUAAUUUUUAUUAGGGUUUUUAUUUUGGGGUGGCUUUUGGUAUUUAUUUGCCCCCCAUCUGGACCUUGGUGGGGAAACCAAGGCUGGAAAGAGAAGAGCGAGAAACCUCCGUGAACAAAGGAGAGGAUGCGGGAACCCGCAGCAAGAAGAGCUUUAUUGGCACGGCGCAACCCGAUGGGAUCCUUGCGGCAUCCACAGCGCACCCGGUAGGUCUGUCCCCAAAUACCUGCAGCACCCCUGGGGGGGUGCAAGGAGCUGUCCCAGGGACCCCGAGCCAUCAUCUCUGCUCCCAUCCCAGAGGCAAGAGUCUGCUCACGGAGCUGCAAAGAGAUCUGGGGGCCCCAGGCCAUGGGGUGAGAAAGAGGAACCUCCAGUAAGGGUUGGCUUUGGCCAGUGCUGGGCUCCUGCUGGGAACACUGGGCCAGCUGUGGGCGAGGGCAGUGGAUGGGCUCCAGCUGCAAAGAGAGGGGAUGGGAAAGAGGAUGGGAAGAAGAAGGGCGGGAGAGGAAAUGGAAGAAGGGAAUGGAAGGAGAAUGGAAAAGGGAUGGGAAAAAGGAAUGGGGAGAAGAGACGGGAAAUGGAAUUGGACAGGGGAUGGGAAAGGGAUGGGAGAAGGAUGGGAAAAGGAAUGGGUUAAAGGAAUGGGGGAAAGAGAUGAGAAGGGAUGGGAGAAGGAAUGGGAGAAUGAUGAGAAAAGGGAUGGGGAAAAGGAAGGGAAAAGGAUGGGAAAAGAGGAUGGAGAAAAAGAUAGGAGAAAGAGAUGGGGGAAAGGUUCAGGAGAAGGGAUAGGAAAAGGGAAUGGAGAAGAGAUGGGAAAGGGGAUGGGAAAAUGGGUAGGAGAAACAGCUUGGGAGAAAAGGACGGGAAAGGGGAUAGGAGAAGGGAUGAGAGAAGGGCCCCAGCGGGAUGCAGGGUAGGCGAUGGGCUAUCAGGCACCUGUCUGCCUAUAAGAGGAGGAAAAAAAAGGGUGGAGGGGGGAAAAAAGGGGAUAAAAAAGGAGGAAGAAUAUAAGAAGGUGGGGUGGUGGUGGAGCAGCGCGGGGCUGCAGGGGCUCUGCGGGGGCACCGCUCGGCGUUAGGCCGCGGGGUCGUGGCCCCCUCCACCUCCCUCCCCUCUGCAGUUUCUUGAAUUUUCUUUUAUUUCAUUUUAUUUUAUUGCAUUUUCUGAAUAAUUCAGGUGCUGCCACCCCCUCCUCUCCCCCAGCCCUCCCCUCCGCCGCCGCUCGCACACGCCUCUGUGUUAGGGGUAUAAUGAGGCAGCCGAUGGGUAAUUGGGAUCUUUUGUAGGGAGGAUGUAUGGCCGGGGCAGCUGCUGGGGGGGUGAAGGGGGGGGGGGGGCAUCUGCGGGAGUGGGGGGGACGCAUUACCAUACAAAGGGAACAAAUGACAUGUUUAUCCCUCCAAGAGAUUUACGCCCGGCCUCGCCCUGCAGACACAGCGCUCCCCCCAUCUGCAUCCCCGACACUUUUGAUUUAAAUUAUAAGGAUUAAAGGAAGGGGGGGGGUAGGGGGAGAGGCGGGGGAGAGGCGCAUAAACAGCCACCGGAAAAAUAGCGGUAAUCAGAAGGAAGGGUUAAAGUGGGAAAAUGGUAAUAAAAAAGUGGCUUUGCUUUGCCCAACCUCCUUCCAUCUGGAGGGGGAGCGCUGACCCCAGGAGCUGCCCUUGGUUUUAGGAGGGGGGGGAAUAACGAGGCAUUAUUAAAAGAAGGGGGAAAAAUAUAUAUAUAUGAAAAAUGGGGGAAAUGGGGAUGAAAGGAGAAAAGGAGAAAAAAAAAAGGAGAAAUGGGUAGAAGAAAAGGAAUGAAUGGGCAGAAAAAGGGGAGAAAAGGGUGGCAAAAAAAAAAAAAAAAGGAGAAAAGGGCAAUGAAAAAAAUGAAGAGGAAAGGGGGGGAAAGGGAGAAAAGGGCAAAAUAAAAAAAGGAGAAAAAGGCAAACCAGUAAUAAUAAUAAAAAAAGCUCAAAGCACAAAGCGGCGGCUCCAGCCCAGCCCCGGGGCUCCCCCGUGGGUCACCCCCGAGUGACAGCUCUGCGGGAAGGGCCCCCCCGGGGACCUCCUUCACCCCCCCCUCCCCUCUCCUCUAUCCCAAAGCUCUCCCUCCCCCCCCCCCCCAGCCCACCGCUCUCACCCCCCUCCCCGCAGCGCUGCGGGUGCCACCUGCGCGGGUGCGCAGCGCGGCGCAAAGUUGCGCGCCCCGCCGCCGGGGUUCGGGGCCGCGCAGGGGGGUGCGGAAAAGCCGCGGAACGGCCUCCGGGCCUCGGCUCGAUGCUGGUCAGCCUCGUUCUUGGCAUUCACCGCGUGCCUUAAUUGUAUGGACAUUUAAAUCAAGGUCCGCUGUGAACACGGAGAGAGGGGCCUUUCCUCAAGGAAAAGAUGAAACGAAAAUAAAAAGGAAAAUAAUAAGAAGAAAGCAAAAUAUGUCUUUUGGAGAGAGAGAGAGAGAGAGGCGGUGGAGGAAAAAAAAAAAGAUCAAAGCAGAAAGGAAAAAUAAGAAUAACUAAAAACAAACAAACAAACAAAAAAAGCCAAAAACCAAAAAACAAAACGGGGGAGGGAUGGAAAAAAAAGGAGAGAGGGGCCGCGCUGCCCGCCGCCCCCGCGCAGCACAGCCUUUGUUCUGCCCAUGGGCAGGGAGGGGGAAAUCCAAAUAAACCCCCAGCCCCCCCCUCUAUUUCCCCCCCUCCGCCUUCUCUCCCUGCCCUCCCCACCGCCGCAUCCCGGGUACGAUCCGCACGGAGGCAGCGGGUGGGGGGGUUGGGGGGGCUGUGCGUUACCUGCAGCCCGAGCCCCGCUGCGCUGCGCUGCGCUGCUGCUGCUGCUGCUGCUGCUCUAAAAGGGGUCUGGAGGAGCGCGAGGAGCCUUCCCCCGUCCGCCUGUGCUGCUGUGCUGCUGCGCUGCUGCUGCAGUCAAAUCCUUUUCGCUCGGAUCCCAAGUGGUGCAAAAAAAAAAAAAAAAAAAAAAAAAAAAAAAAGGAAAAAAAAAAGGGGGGAAAAAAAAGAAAAAAAAGGGAAAAAAAAAAGAGAGGAAAAAGAAAAAAAAAGGCAGGAAAAAAAAAAAAAGAGAGGAGAGGGGCCCAUCUGGCUUCUCAUCAGCUUUGUCAAGUCUUGCAUACGCUAAAAUGCUAAUGACCUAGAUAGCUCAUGCAAAAUGCAGCAGAGAGAGGAGGGAGCAGCGAGGGAGGGGAGGAGGGAGGGGGAAAGCAGAGGGAGGGGGAGAGCCCGGCUGCGGCGCCCUCUCCCCUCCGCCCCCCCCUCCCCCCCCCCCCACCGCCCGCUGCCCCAAUGCACCUUGCUGGGGACGAGCGGGCUUUGAUGGGAAAGGUCACCCGGGUGGGGUGCGGGGGGGCGGCGAACAGCCCCGCAUCCCCCCCCAUCGCCAUCCCCAUCCCUCGGGGGGGGGGGUGGUGGGGGUGAGGGGAGGCUGUGCCCGCAGCGCAUCCCGACCCCGCAUUGAGCCCCCAAGCCCCCCAGCCCAAAUCCCGGUAAAAAGAAGGAAAAUACCCCCUGCUCCGGUCCCUCGAUGCGGCGUAAUCCCGAGGAAAGCGGUUUUGGGGCGAAGGUGGGGGGGGUUAAAAUGGAGCCCCCCCCCCCAAGCGCUCUGCGCGCUACGCGGAGGUGAAAAAUUAAGAAAAAAUAAUAAUAAUGAAAAAAAAUAUAUAUGAUAAUAACAAUAAUAACGAUGAUAAUGAUAAUAAUAAUAAUAAAAAGAGAUUAAAACUGAGAAGAGAUGGGCGGAGGGGAGCGAAGCGGCGGCCGCGGGUGCGGGCGGAGGUGCGCACGGAGCGCGCAGCGCGGAGCUGCCGGGCGGGAGCCGCGGAGAGAGGAGCUGUCAGCGGCGCCUUCUCAUUUAUCAUUAGCCAGCCCUAAUCUUGCUCGCUGUCCUCCUUCGGUGAUGUUGAUCCACUUUCCCUCCCUCCUCCCCCAAGCCCCCCCCCCCCCCCAACCCCCCCUCCCCGCGCACCCCCUCCCCGAAAGGAUUAUUCAGCCAAAAAAAAAAAAAAAAAAAAAAUCCCAGCUGCUGACUCCGUGCGCCGAAAACAAGGGGCGGCUGCACCCCCCGGCCCCGCUCCCGCUGAGAUGCUCCGGGUGUUGUCCGCAGCAAUGCCGCCUUUUAAAACAAGGAGCGACCCCGCCGGGAGAGAGCCCGCAGCCCUGCCCAGCAUCCCCCCCCCUACCUCCUCCCAACCCCCCCCCCCCCCCCUUCCCCCUUACUGCCCUGCGCCCUCUGCCCGGGGAUGGAUGGAUGAGUGGAUGGAUGGAUGGAUGGAUGGAUGGAUGGAUGGAUGGAUGGAUGGAUGGAUGGAUGGGGAGGGGAGGGGGUGAUGUGGGGAAGCCCCCUGCUCGCGGUGCCCCCCCUUGGCCUCCACCCGGCCCCGCUGCGGAGAGAGGAUGCUGCUGCAGAGCCGGGUGCAGCCCUAAAAAAAAUAAUAGGAAAAUAGGUCCUUUUUUUUUUUAAAAAAAAAAAGACUCCCCCUCUACCUUCCAACCCCCUCCCCCCCCCUUCCCCCCCCCCCCCCCCGAUGGUUUCAUGGCUACGCUACUGUAAUUAUGAAUUCUUCUUCUUGCGACUCGUGCGUGUGCGAGGGGCUGGGGGUGGAAGCGGCUGUGCUGUGCGGCUGACAUCACUGCAGUGGCGUGGGGCUGAGCUCCCAGGGCUGCAGCGGGCUGCAGUGCCUCCCCAGCUGCUGCCUCCUUGUUAUUUCUUCCUUAUUUUGGCUGUAUUUUUACUUUUUUUUUUUCUAUUCCCGCUUUUUCUUUUAUUUAUUUAUUAUUAUUAUUAUUUUGCAGCCGUUCUGCUGAUGGCGGUUGGGGAAAUUAUUGUCAUUAUUAUUAAUAAUGCUAAUGAUAAUGAAGCCCAUCCCGUCUCACUGUGUUCAAGGGGGAUGAAACGCACCAUGUGGAUAUCUGCACUUAUACAGAGGGAUGAAGCACACGACUGCGUAUCCACCUGUUCUAUGCACUCAGUGCCCCCCCGCCAUCGCCGCUCUCACCCAUCGCACCCCAUCCCCAUCUCAGGGCACCACACAGCAUAACCCAGGCUCAGCCCCUGAGGCAGAGACAGGAAAUCCUUUCUCCCUGCCCGGUGCUUUCCUACCAAGGGCAUGUGCCCUCCGUGGGAUAGCAACACAGACGGCUGCACCGCACUGCUGAGAUCAUUUGGGCGCCGCACGGCGCUGCGCCGCGCUCCUCAUAUUCCUUCCGACUGCAUCAGGAGAAACGCUUUGCUGAUUUUCUUCCUAUUUUUUUUUUAUUCCUAAGGCCUAGGAGCUGCUGGGAAAAAUCUGCACGGCCGCUCCCCCCCCCCCCUCCCCCGUGAUGUGCUGGGAAUGUCGGUGCCGUGAGCCGCGGCCCUUUCUCCUUUGCGCCGCACCGCUCUGUGUCCAUUACGUUAAUGGCAUUUCAUCCCAGUGCACUGAACUGCAGGAGUUCUCAAGGAAACACUCAAGAUCACAUGGCGAGGUCCCUUCCAAGCCAAGCCAUUCUAUGAUUCUAUGAUUCUAUGAGAAUUGCUGGGGCCGUUAGCGUUAGCAGCCCCAGACCCAUCACCCUGCCCUUCGCAAUGAGAAAUAUGACACAAUAUUACUCAAGGCUAAAAAAACCCCCACCAACAUAAUCCAUAUUUACCCGAAUUUCCCAUAUAUCUGCUUUAAACCCUUUGCAAUUCAAAUAAGAAUGGGGAUGUUGAAGGUCUGGCUGACAGCAGCCGGCAGCAGAGCAUCCCUUUAGAGCUGUGGGGCCAGGGCUGUGCUGGGCCGGGGCUGUGCUCCGACAGAUGGAUCUCCUUGGUUUUCUGUUGUCUUGGAGGUUUAUGGAGAGCAAAUAAAUUUGUGUAGCACUUGGAGGGGAAAAGUUGUGAUGUUGGUGCCUACUGAAAUCAUUUUCUGC
ensembl:lncRNA